UACGAAGGGGGCAAGCGUUGUUCGGAAUCACUGGGCGUAAAGCGCACGCAGGCGGAUCGAUAAGUCGGGGGUGAAAUCCCGGGGCUCAACCUCGGAAUUGCCUUCGAUACUGUCGGUCUCGAGUCCGGGAGAGGUGAGUGGAAUUCCUAGUGUAGAGGUGAAAUUCGUAGAUAUUAGGAAGAACACCAGUGGCGAAGGCGGCUCACUGGCCCGGUACUGACGCUCAGGUGCGAAAGCUUGGGGAGCAAACAGG
rnacentral:rRNA from 1 species